AGCUGUGUAGGUCAGUUGGUUAAAGCAUGGUGCUGAUCACACCAAGCUUGCAGGUUCAAUCCCUGUAUGGGACAGCUG